rnacentral:rRNA from 1 species
AUUGAACGCUGGCGGCAGGACUAACACAUGCAAGUCGAACGAGUGGCGGACGGGUGAGUAAUGUCUGGGAAACUGCCUGAUGGAGGGGGAUAACUACUGGAAACGGUAGCUAAUACCGCAUAACAUCAGAUGUGCCCAGAUGGGAUUAGCUAGUUGGUGGGGUCACGGAUCACCAAGGCGACGAUCCCUAGCUGGUCUGAGAGGCUGACCAGCUCCCCUGUAACUGAGCCACGGUCCAGACUCCUACGGGAGGCAGCAGUGGGUAAUAUUGCACAAUGGGCGCAAGCCUGAUGCAGCCAUGCCGCGUGUAUGAAGAAGGCCUUCGGGUUGUAAAGUCCUUUCAGCGGGGAGGCGUUACCCGCAGAAGAAGCACCGGCGAACUCCGUGCCAGCAGCCGCGGUAAUUC